UAAGUCUUGAUUUUUUCCUUCUCUUCAUAGUUUAAGAUAUUUAAAUUUCAUAAAAUUGACCAAUUUUAUGUGUACAGUAUGAAUUUUGAUAAUCGUAUAUAAUCAUAUUACCACCACCAUAAUCAAACUAUAGAAGGAGCUGAAGUUCCUUCAUACUAAAGUUAGCCUCUGCCCCUUUAUACUCAGGCUUUUCCACCCAGGCAAACCUCCAGGCAGUCACUGUCUACUUUCUGACACUACUUGUCUUGUAAAUGGACUCAUACAGUAGGUAAAUCUUUGGUGCUUUAUUUCUUUCACUUAGCAUAAUGUUUUUGAGAUACAUCCAGGUUGUUGCAUGUAUUAAUAUUUGUUCCCUUUUACUUCUGAGUGGUAUUUCACAGAUUGAAUAUACUGUCAAUUGUUUAUUCACCAGAUGAUGGACAUUUGACUUCCAAUUUGGAGCUAAGUAAUGUUGCUACAACAUUUGUGAACAAGUUUUAUUUCUAAUUAAACUUAGGAGGAAAUUAUAGUCUAAUGCAAUUCUAAGAAAUGACACAAGAGAUCAUGUAUACUCUUUACCCAGUUUCCCCCAGUGAUAACAUCUUGCAAAACUAAAGCACAGUAUCACAACUGGAUAUUCACAUGGAUAAAGUCAGGAUACCACACCAUUUUAUUACCACAAUUCAGAUGUAAUCCCAAUCAAAAUCCCAGGUAAGUUAUUUUUUGGAUAUUGGUAAACUGAUUCUAAAAUUUAUAUGGAGAGACAAAAGAUCCAGAAGAGCAAAGUCAGUAUUGAGAGAGAAGAACAAAGCUGGCAAACUGACACUACCCAAGACUUUGUGUAACUACAAUAAUUGAGACAGUGUGGUAUCAGCAAAAAAAAAAAAAAAAAAAGAAAGAAAGAAAAAGAAAAACAGGUGAGUAGAACAGAAUAGAGAGUCCCAAAAUAGACUCAUAAAUAUAGUCUGAACUUUGACAAAGAAGCAAAGACAAUACAUUGGACAAAGAUAGUCUUUCCAACAAAUAGUGCUGGGACAACUGGACAUCCACAUUUAAAAAAAAAAAUUGAGACACAGAAUUUACACCCUUUACAAAAAUGAGUCCAAAA